UAUACAAAUAUCUUCUAUUUUUUGUCACUAUAAUAAUCUCCUUUAUAGAGAUUAGUGUAAUAAAAAAAUGUAUCAAUAUAAUGUUUCAAACAUUAAGGAGAUAUUAACGUUACAUAUAGAGUAUCAAUGAAAUGUUUUCAAAUAUAAAGUGGUGAAAAGUGAUGACAUGACACUAUCCAAAUUUGAUAUGUGUUCACCUUGAACACUACCUAUUCACUAGGCAUGGUUGAGAAUGAGUAUGUCAUUUCCUAUUCUCGUCCUUGUUUUGCUCCCCAACACCAUUCCCAUCCAUGAUCUUCAAUGGAGAUACAAUUUUGUCCUCAUUCUCGGUCUCUCGUUUGAGGUCAAAUAUAUCCACCUAGUCCCGUCUUUGCCUACUAAAAAUGGUUACUACUUUAUAACAAUAUAAUUUGUAUAUGUUUUCUGUCUAAUUUUAAAUCUAAAACCAAUUUUAGAUGUCAUUAAAUUAAAUAAGUUGUAAAAAUGUAAUGAUUCAAAACAUAAACUCAACCUACUAUAAUAAAAAAAACAAGUCUUAUAAAAAGAUUAAAUAAAUAAGGAAAAUACAAUGAGCAUAUAUUUCGGGGAUCGGGACAUAUACUGGGACGAGACAGGUAUUUAUAUACCCACCCCAUCCAUGUCCUGAUUUUAAAAAGUUGGGUAAUACCUAUAUCUAAUCAAAACAAAUAUUUUUUCAUCAAAGCUAGGCCGGUUUUGGAAGGAUACCCACAAGUAUGGGGUUUCUUGCCAUCCCCAAUCAUCAUCACUUCUGAUGACGUUGUCUAGCUCCAUAGAAUAAAAAUCUAUUUUUUUGAAAUUUAAUGGACUAAUAUUUUUUUCAACUUGGGAGACUAAAAAAGAAUUUAUCCAAGAUCAAAUAGAUUUAUUUGUUUUUAUAUGUUUUUUCUUUCACUUAAUUGUUAGUUGUUGGUUUUUGUCAGUGGAAAAUUCAAACUCAUAACUUUUAUUCCCUUCAUUCUCUCUUCACCACCAAGUUAAUCUUAUAACUCCUACAAAAUAUAAAUUUUAAAAGGAUCAUUUAAAAAAAUUACAAAGACCAAAACUAAAAAAAAU
rnacentral:lncRNA from 1 species